GACGAACGCUGGCGGCGUGCUUAACACAUGCAAGUCAAGGGGCCGACGCAAUAGGCGAACCGACCGGAACGGGUAGGCGUAACAACGUGAGCAACCUAACCGAAAUAGUGGGGAGUAGCCGGCCUAACGGCCGAGUAAUACCGCAUACGCUUUCAGAGAGGCAUUUCUUUGAAAGGAAACCUACGGGACAUUUCGAGGGGCUCGCGGCCUAUCAGCUAGUUGGCGAGGUAACGGCUCACCAAGGCAACGACGGGUAGCU
rnacentral:rRNA from 1 species